rnacentral:tRNA from 1 species
AUUUUGGUGGCCGAAAAUUUAGGCAAUAAACUGUAAAUUUAUAUAUGACAACUUGUGUCCCUU